rnacentral:rRNA from 1 species
UACGGAGGGGGCUAGCGUUGUUCGGAAUUACUGGGCGUAAAGCGCACGUAGGCGGACCAGAAAGUUGGGGGUGAAAUCCCGGGGCUCAACCCCGGAACUGCCUUCAAAACUCCUGGUCUUGAGGUCGAGAGAGGUGAGUGGAAUUCCGAGUGUAGAGGUGAAAUUCGUAGAUAUUCGGAGGAACACCAGUGGCGAAGGCGGCUCACUGGCUCGAUACUGACGCUGAGGUGCGAAAGCGUGGGAGCAAACAGG